rnacentral:rRNA from 1 species
CAUCUGAUUAGAGUUUGAUCMUGGCUCAGGAUGAACGCUGGCGGCGUGCCUAAGACAUGCAAGUCGAGUGGGUUUAGACCCACGGCGAACGGGUGAGUAUAACUCAGGAACUUUCCUUAAGUGGAGCAUAACCAGCCGAAAGGUUGGAUAAUUCUCCAUGUGGUCCCGAUGAAUAAUCGUGACUAAAGUAGCAAUACGCUUAAGGUGAGGCCUGGGCACCAUCAGCUAGUUGGUAAGGUAAUGGCUUACCAAGGCUAUGACGGUUAGGGGUCCCGAGAGGGAUAACCCCCACACUGGGACUGCGACACGGCCCAGACUCCUACGGGAGGCAGCAGUUUGGAAUAUUGGACAAUGGGCGAAAGCCUGAUCCAGCGACGCCGCGUGGACGAUGAAGGUCUUCGGAUUGUAAAGUCCUUUUGGCAGGGAACAAUUUUUGAGCGUACCUGCAGAAUAAGAGGUUGCUAA